rnacentral:rRNA from 1 species
CCUACGGGAGGCAGCAGUCGGGAAUUUUGGGCAAUGGGCGAAAGCCUGACCCAGCAACGCCGCGUGAAGGAUGAAAUCCCUCGGGAUGUAAACUUCGUAAGAACAGGAAGAAUAAGUAGGGGACAAUACCCCCUAUGAUGACGGUACUGUUUGUAAGCUCCGGCUAACUCCGUGCCAGCAGCCGCGGUAAUACGGGGGGAGCAAGCGUUGUUCGGAUUUACUGGGCGUAAAGGGCGCGUAGGCGGCGUGACAAGUCACUUGUGAAAUCUCCGGGCUUAACUCGGAACGGUCAAGUGAUACUGUCGUGCUAGAGUACAGAAGGGGCAACUGGAAUUCUCGGUGUAGCGGUGAAAUGCGUAGAUAUCGAGAGGAACACCUGCGGCGAAGGCGGGUUGCUGGGCUGAUACUGACGCUGAGGCGCGAAAGCCAGGGGAGCGAACGGGAUUAGAUACCCCGGUAGUCCUGGCCUUAAACGAUGAAUGCUUGGUGUCUCGGGUUAUAAAGUCCCGGGGUGCCGUCGCUAACGCUUUUAGCAUUCCGCCUGGGGAGUACGGUCGCAAGACUGAAACUCAAAGGAAUUGACGGGGACCCGCACAAGCGGUGGAGCAUGUGGUUUAAUUCGACGCAACGCGAAGAACCUUACCUGGGCUAGAAUGCCUCUGACAACUCCAGAGAUGGAGCCUCUUGGGUAAAACCAAGCAGAGUGCAAUGUGCUGCAUGGCUGUCGCCAGCUCGUGUCGUGAGAUGUUGGGUUAAGUCCCGCAACGAGCGCAACCCUUAUCAACUGUUGCCAGCGGGUAAUGCCGGGAACUCGGUUGAGACUGCCGUUGACAAACGGAGGAGGUGGGGGAUGACGUCAGUCCUCAUGGCCUUUAUGUCCAGGGCUACACACGUGCUACAUGGCAGUACAACGCCGCAAACUCGCAGAGGAGCAUCGGAAAAGCUGUCUCAGUUCGAUGAGUCUGCACUCGACUCAUGAGUGAUCGCUAGUAUCGCGAUCAGCAUGCCGCGGUGAAUACGUUCCGG